rnacentral:rRNA from 1 species
UACGUAGAGCGCAAGCGUUGUCCGGAAUUAUUGGGCGUAAAGAGCUCGUAGGUGGCUUGUCGCGUCUGCCGUGAAAGCCCGUGGCUUAACUACGGGUCUGCGGUGGAUACGGGCAGGCUAGAGGCUGGUAGGGGCAAGCGGAAUUCCUGGUGUAGCGGUGAAAUGCGCAGAUAUCAGGAGGAACACCGGUGGCGAAGGCGGCUUGCUGGGCCAGUUCUGACGCUGAGGAGCGAAAGCGUGGGGAGCGAACAGG